UGGGAAUUUUGGACAAUGGGCGCAAGCCUGAUCCAGCCAUGCCGCGUGCGGGAAGAAGGCCUUCGGGUUGUAAACCGCUUUUGUCAGGGAAGAAAUCUUCUGAGUUAAUACCUCGGGAGGAUGACGGUACCUGAAGAAUAAGCACCGGCUAACUACGUGCCAGCAGCCGCGGUAAUACGUAGGGUGCAAGCGUUAAUCGGAAUUACUGGGCGUAAAGCGUGCGCAGGCGGUUUUGUAAGACAGAGGUGAAAUCCCCGGGCUCAACCUGGGAACUGCCUUUGUGACUGCAAGGCUUGAGUGCGGCAGAGGGGGGAUGGAAUUCCGCGUGUAGCAGUGAAAUGCGUAGAUAUGCGGAGGAACACCGAUGGCGAAGGCAAUCCCCUGGGCCUGCACUGACGCUCAUGCACGAAAGCGUGGGGAGCAAACAGGAUUAGAUACCCUGGUAGUCCACGCCCUAAACGAUGCCAACUGGUUGUUGGGAAGGUUCCUUCUCAGUAACGUAGCUAACGCGUGAAGUUGACCGCCUGGGGAGUACGGCCGCAAGGUUGAAACUUAAAUGAAUUGACGGGGUCAUAGCUGUUUCCUG
rnacentral:rRNA from 1 species